rnacentral:piRNA from 1 species
UGAGUUUGUUACCUCCUUGCCGAGUUUAC